AUUGAACGCUGGCGGCAUGCCUUACACAUGCAAGUCGAACGGUAACAGGUCUUCGGAUGCUGACGAGUGGCGAACGGGUGAGUAAUACAUCGGAACAUGCCUAGUCGUGGGGGAUAACGUAGCGAAAGUUACGCUAAUACCGCAUACGCCCUGAGGGGGAAAGUGGGGGACCGUAAGGCCUCAUGCGAUUAGAGUGGCCGAUGUUCGAUUAGCUAGUUGGUGAGGUAAAAGCUCACCAAGGCGACGAUCGAUAGCUGGUCUGAGAGGACGAUCAGCCACACUGGGACUGAGACACGGCCCAGACUCCUACGGGAGGCAGCAGUGGGGAAUUUUGGACAAUGGGGGCAACCCUGAUCCAGCAAUGCCGCGUGUGUGAAGAAGGCCUUCGGGUUGUAAAGCACUUUUGUUUGGGAAGAAAUCCCUUGGGAUAAUACCUCAGGGGGAUGACGGUACCAAAAGAAUAAGCACCGGCUAACUACGUGCCAGCCGCCGCCGUAAGAC
rnacentral:rRNA from 1 species